rnacentral:misc_RNA from 1 species
AAGACUAUAGACCUGCGGAGUACCUGCGGAGGGAUCAUUACAGAGUUGCAAAACUCCCUAAACCAUUGUGAACGUUACCUAAACCGUUGCUUCGGCGGGCGGCGCGCCCUCGCGCGCGCCCCUGGGCCCCACCGCGGGCGCCCGCCGGAGGUCACCAAACUCUUGAUAUUAAUUGGCCUCUCUGAGUCUUCUGUACUGAAUAAGUCAAAACUUUUAACAAUGGAUCUCUAGAUCGGAAGA